AGCCGCCUGCUGUGUGCGCGGAGUGCCAAAUAUGCUUAAACCCCUAAGACGUUAAAUAGGGACUCGUCCCUGGGGGGAUGACGAGCGCGCCUGCGAGUCCAGGAUACUUGUGCCCCCUAUAAUGAGGCCCACCUGCUUGUCAGGGUGUUUAACGUUAUGGUACAAACGGCAUGGUGGGUGGCUU
rnacentral:other from 1 species